rnacentral:lncRNA from 1 species
GUUUAAGAUGUAGAACUGGACACUGGGAAUCACCUUUAGCUUUGGACUCUUAUUAGUCGGCAGACAACAGACUUAGCAUAAAAAAAUUCAACAUAUUUAUGCAGCUCAGUUUUACUGUAAUGUAGUAAGGCAGGCUAAUGUAUAUUGUGUUAUUUAUAUAUGAUCAACUAACUCUCAGGAUGAGUACAUUAGUAGCUUAGCCCGCCUGCUUUUGGUAGUUAAUUAUACUUGUGUUGUAAGAGGCUGAUCUUAUAUUGUGUUUUUCCAGACACUCCGGCAAAGCAAUGGCGUCUGAUGUACAGAAUGUUGAACAUAAAGUGCCUUCCCUUUUCACUCAACAUGUAAUUGCUGUAUUUGUGCAUGCUGUCAGCUGCAGCUUAAACAAAAGAACAACAUUUGGCGCCCUGGACGUGGGAAGGCUCUGCCCUUGGUACCCCCCUCCACGUCCCGCUGGCGGUACGUGUUGGAUCAAGGACAUCCUUAUCACGCGAAUAAACAAUCCACAUUCCAGAUCACCGGUUUGCUGGAUUCUGCAUACAACACCGGACCCAAUUCGGACUAAAAGGCACCAGAGUGGCCCGGACUACAAUGAAACAACAAUCAACUCCAGGACGUGGCAGCACCCCCAACCCCCCAAAGACGAUCAACGCCCCAGGCCAUCAGGAAGCAGCCUUAAGACAUCUUCGCCCCUACUUCCCUAACCUGCCACGCCCAAUUCUCUAACUUUUAUAAUAAACAACAGCCGGGAUUGUAAGAACAAAACACCUGGAUGACCCUAACCCCGCCCCCUAACAAGCGGGUACUCACUCACCCGCCAUGCCUUUCGACCUUUGCCCUACUGCGCAUAUGCAAUCUUCCCUUUAAAAGGUCCUGCCCCACACCCCUCUUUCUCUUUCUCUCGGCUUCCCUAGGGUUGGCUGACUGCCCAUCCCCUCUUUCCCCCCUCUCUGAUAAAUAAACUCCACGUGGGUUGCUUAUUCGUUGUUCCUUUCCUUGUUAGCAGCUGCAGCUUAAACAAAAGAACAACAGUUAGGAUGCCAACAACGCAAAGACUUCAAGAAGUCCCUGAAAAUGACCAGACAGACUGGGCCCCUCCCUUACCAAGCAUACAUAAGUAGUGAGACUCUCAGACCAGCCAAGCCAAGGAAGAUACAAACUGCCCAGAAGCAGAGAUCAUAUGAACUGCCUGGAAGAGACUCAACUGAGCCACCAGGGAAGGACACUCUCCAACCUACUGGGUGGCCCACAAGCACAGUUCAGUUUGCUCCAGGCUUUAGUGAGCUGUCACAUGUGCUGUCAUGGGCUUUGGUGAUGUUGGUGGCUUUGAGUCAUUUCUGUUCCCAUAAGUAACCACACACCCAUACUCCUCUAAGUGAGCCCAUUGAAACUCACAGGUUCACCAGUUGGACUUUGGUGGUGUCCUUACUUUGGCCUGUCACUAAUUCCCUAUCUGGGAUGAGUAGAUUUUGUUCUUGUCUCUCAGGUACUGUGUCACACAGCACAGAUCCAGAGCCAAGUUAUCUUGGGCUACCUUCAGCUCAUUUACUUUGUAUGUAACCUAACAUCCUUAUGAAUUAUCAGAUGAAUCUUCAUUGGUGGAACAUACUUGCUUAAUAAAUCACAAGUUUCCACUGUCUCAAAAGCCAAAAAUGUUAUCAGACAGCAUCUGAAACCUAUAGCAGAAGCUGGAAACAAUUUAUCUUUCUACCUACCCUUUGCAGGAAACAUGGCCCACACAGUAUCUGUAGACCUAACUAUUUUCUCCUGUAUUUAGCUGGCAUCUCAUCAAUCUUAGGAGAUUGCUGCUUUGCUGUAACCUGGCUACCUCAUGCUUCCACUGCUGUAUCUGAAAGCACUUUGAUAAUUACUUUCUUUUGUUCUCUAAGUAUAAAACCUACAUGAAACCAUUCUCACAUUCAAAUACAGUUUUGGGGGCAAAUGGAAGUCAUCACAGGCUAUGGACACUUGUG